rnacentral:lncRNA from 1 species
CUCCUAUUUUAUAUUAGCAGAGGCUGCAGGGAGCCAGAAAUAGGGAAGUGGAGACAGCCUUGCCAUCUUCCAAAACUGAACACAGGAAUGUAAUCAACCUCCCAUGAGAACUUGAGAAGUUUCACUUAUUCCUUACUUCAGUAGCUCAGUUUUAUCUGUAGAGUCGUUCUACUGUGAGCCUUGAUCUGCUUCUUGAUGUUUCUUUUCUCUAUUGUAGGGCGAGCCUCCAACAGGUCAGGCAGUCCCUCUCAUCUUUGACAUGAUGGCCACAGCAGAUCCACAAGUACCUGAUGGAUGAGGAUGGCAUGGGUGUCAUGCUGUGCAUAACACAAGCACCAAAAGGCUGAGCAUCAGGGCCAGCCCAGGAAAACUUCUUGAGCGUCUUUCUCUCUUCGUUCCAGAGGCAGCCAGGCUGCUUUCCUCCCGUGAGGAGAUGGGAGAAGGAGGACAAGAAUGACAGGUUUGUGAAAGGGGCACUGUGCCUCUGACAGCUUGCAGAUGCACGGGAAGCAAGGUUGGCAAAAGGCAGCAUUAGGUGUUCCUGCUGCCAGCUAAUAGUGUCCAGUCAGGUGGGUUAGCCUAGCAGACAGAUAGUAAUGGAUUAGCUGUACCACAGCAAAUGCUUUAUUGGCAAGUAACCAUUUGCAACCUACUGUGCUCUUCCACCCAGAAUUUUCCUACUUAAUUUCCUGACAAACCACUGUCCUAGCACCACCUAGUGUCCAGCCUGGCAAUUCAGACGUCCUCAAUGAGGGAAUUCCAGGCAUUUGUGGCCCAAAGAAGAAAAUUCAGAGGGAUUUUCUUGGGUUCUUUAAGUUAACAUAGACUCCUACAGCACCUUUAGAAAAGUCUACAGUUGUACCAUCUGAAAUAAUGCUUUUAUUUCCAAAUCCUGCCAUUACUUA